rnacentral:rRNA from 1 species
AUGGCGUGUCGAGAGGCUUUGGCUCUAGCAGAAGACCUGGGAAUCCAAAGCUUUGUGGUGGCCUCCGACUGUCAACAAGUGGUCUCAGACAUCAACUUCGGAGCAAGGGGAACUUAUGGAGCAAUUAUUAGAGAGAUAAACCUUAGAUCAUCGCCUUUUCUUUGUAAUUUUGUCUUUGAGAGUGGUGCUGUCAAUGUAGAAGCACACCGUCUAGCCAAUUUUUCUUUUUCGAGAGGACCGGGGCGCCACGUAUGGCUUGGUGCAUCCCAUGACCUCAGAUGUAUCCCACAUCAUGUGGAAUUUCAAGAAUAA